rnacentral:rRNA from 1 species
CGCCCCCCGAAUUAACCAACCGAGGCCCAUUUUGUGGUGGGCCCCACCCUGUAAAUGGCCCCGGUAGACAGACCGUGGUAAGGUAGCAUAAUCAUUUGCCGUUUUAUUGAUGGCUUGAAGGGAUGAAUAUACGAGAGCUAGACUGUCUCAUUUUUACAGCGGAAAAUUGACCCUCAAGGGGGGAGACUUGAAUUAAAAAAAAAGACGAAAAGACCCUAUAGAGCUUUACUUAAAAUUUAAAUUCUUUAGAAUAAAGGUUUAGUUGGGGCAACUAGAGAGAAUCUAAAACCUCUCUUUAUUUAUAUAGAUCCGCUAUCGCGAGAAGUAGAAAAAGCUACCUUAGGGAUAACAGGCUAAUCCUCUUUAAGAGACCAUAUUGACAAGAGGGAUUGGCACCUCGAUGUUGGCCCAAGGUUACAGUUUGAUGCAGCAGACAAACAAAUGAG